rnacentral:rRNA from 1 species
UACAGAGGGUGCAAGCGUUGUUCGGAAUUACUGGGCGUAAAGCGCGUGUAGGCGGCGUCGUUAGUCGGAUGUGAAAGCCCUCGGCUCAACCGAGGAAGUGCAUCCGAUACUGCGAUGCUUGAGUGUUGGAGGGGUGGCGGAAUUCCCGGUGUAGAGGUGAAAUUCGUAGAUAUCGGGAGGAACACCUGGUGGCGAAGGCGGCCACC